rnacentral:lncRNA from 1 species
GGAGAGUUAGAAGCAAGCCACGUGGGUGACUUCUUUUCAAAGUUCUCUGCCUCAGAGGAGGAAGCCCCAUGGGUGGAGGCCAGGCCCGAGGCCAUCCUGCUCUGGGCCAGAGCGUGCCUGUGUCUGAUGAGCGAGGACAUGCCUCGUCUGGCUGAGCCUUCCAUUUCACACCGGCAGCUCGAACCCCCCAUCACGGCUUCCUUUUGGGCUCCCCUCCUCAGGGGACCGAGCUUGAAAUGUGCUUGCCCUUCAUCCCUAAGGCCUGCGUCCCUUCCUCAGAGAGGACUAAGCCCCUCUCCCAGUCUUGAUGUUCUCCGAGGCCCUUCUUAUUCACAGAACCUAUCUGGCUUAUUUAUUCGCUUGCUUGCUUCUGAUGUCUUCUCUUACUGAAAGGAAUCGAAGGGCCAAGGAAUGUGUUUUUCGUUGAUGUCAACUUGCUGCAAAGGACCACACCUGCUUCUCGACCCAGGAACGUGGGAAAGGGAAAGGCUUGGCUUGUUUUGGUGGAGAUGGAGAUGCUGGUAACAGUGGAGGAAUGCCCUCCUUCUGAUUCACAGUGGGGAGGUGCUCUGGGCCCCUGCCACUGCCCGAGGACUUCAGGAGCUGAGAACAGCCCCCUUCCUAUUUGAGGCUGGCCUGUCCAUGCGCACCCUUGGCCUCACAUCAAUGGAGGAUCACCCAUCCCUUCCUCGUGCUAGAAACCCAAUGGCUGUAUUCCAUAAGCCUGCAGGACUCUUGCUCUUCUCCUUAUUUAACUACACCAGCUUAGGAGUAGCCUACAUGCUCCAUCUUCAUUUCCUUACCCCAUCUACUCCACAGUCUACCAUUCUCUUGCUGAGGUUACUUACCUGGCCUCUUUCCUCUACACUCUUUUCCACACUCACUUGUCCAGGUGCACAUUAAUACCUACACCUGACUAUCCUACAGAUAACUCGAAUUCAAGAUGGUGGGGGAAUAAACUCACCAUCUUACUCUA